rnacentral:lncRNA from 1 species
CCCCCUUCAUCCGGAGCUGCCGUAACUUGGGCUCAUCAUGCUAUACUCGCGGGGAAGGAAAAACGAGCAGUUUACGCUUUAGUAGCUACCGUUUUACUGGCUCUAGUAUUCACUGGCUUUCAAGGAAUGGAAUAUUAUCAAGCACCCUUCACUAUUUCGGAUAGUAUUUAUGGUUCUACCUUUUUUUUAGCAACUGGCUUUCAUGGUUUUCAUGUGAUUAUAGGUACUCUUUUCUUGAUCAUCUGUGGUAUUCGCCAAUAUCUUGGUCAUCUGACCAAGGAGCAUCACGUUGGCUUUGAAGCAGCUGCAUGGUACUGGCAUUUUGUAGACGUGGUUCGGUUAUUCCCAUUUGUCUCUAUCUAUUGGUGGGGGGGUAUAUGAAGGAACGAAUCAGUGGAUUGAGGAAUGAAAGCUCGAAGACAAAGAGAACCGGGCUUUUCCAAAGAAUUACUGCAGCUUUCCUACUCCCUUUAAUUAUUAUAUACAAAAAAGUCUCUUCCACUUUCCUACCAAAUCUCUCUAUAUUCUGGCAUAUAAAUGAAGGUAUCGAAGAGAUUAUGGCAGAUCAUGUUCACCAAGAAAUGACCCGAAAUUGGAUCUUGGUCUAUUUGAGAUUGUUCCUUUUAAUCGUAAUCAAAGAUGUUUUCUUGUCUCUCGUUUCUUUUCUGAACAAAUCGAAGAACCUAAUGGAUCGAACUACCAAUCUGCCAUGUAUUCCUUGGUCAACAACCAAGAAAAGCUCUCAACAAGUCUCUCUCUUUUUUUGGGGGGAGCGGAGCAGUCUUAAGAGCUAAUCCGUCAAAUAAUAAUAGUAGAGAAUUUGCGCCAUGCUAUCUAUUCCUCCUCCCUUUUUAGUAACAAAAUGAACCAGUGAUCGACCGUAACAACCAAAAGGCAUAGACUAGACGGAGGAGCUAUCCUUAUUAAAUUAAGACAGGUUUGAGUUCAUAAUGGAACUAGGAUUUAUAGAUAUGCUUGAGAGAUCCCCUGCUGAUGUGAUCCCAGAUCCCGAUAAGGACCGCCCAGGUCAACUAAAUGCGUUAAAUGAGAGUUCCUUUGUACCACCGCCAACUAAGACAACUUUCUUUAAGUAAAAGCAGAUCGAUCAACGAAGGUGCUAAGCUUCCGUGCCCGCCCACUGCUUUCAUCGCUGGUGCCUCCACCUCUGCUAGUGGUUUUGUGGAUUCACCUACUUAUGCCUGGUAUUUCUUAUGGAGAAAUAGGUGGUUCUGAAUCAACGGGCUCUGCUGCUUUUACUUAGCUGUUUGCUCCUGCCUUUGUAUCUGCUAUGAGUGAAUCUACUCUGGGGUGAAACAACCACUGCGAUUGCCUUUUACCAUACCUUUACCUAUGCCUAUAUGAAUAUCUUAAAGUUGCAGAUCCAAAGCGAGUAGUUUCUUCAGUAGAGCCGGUUGAUUCCGGCGAUUCUGUUGAUGAAGCAGUCAAUGAAGAAAGACAUGGUUGAGUCAGUCGAAGAAGCAAAUGCUCUCGCCUUAGGUAAGCAUACACACCUACCGCGAAUUAGAGAGACCUGACCUACAUUCAUUAAUCAUCUCGUAGGAAUUUCCCGGUAGGUCAAAAGAGCAAUUUGGAAGACUCUCUCGAAAGGUGUCUGCUCGUGGAAUAGAAAGAGUUCGUUGCAUCAACAAAGUGUAGUAGUCAAAAACGCUUACUUAAGCUCAUCGAUGUGUACUCACUCCUCGGCUGUUAAAGAGAGGGCGCUUCUGAGCUAAAUCAAUCCCGCACAGGUGAUUACCCGGAACUUUACACUCAAUGGAAAGCAAAAAGGAAGACUAAAUCCGCUUUGAAAGCGAUUCCAGAGACUAUAAGAACGACCGGGUGGCAGGUGGGAGCAGUAGAAGCAUUGAGAUUUGCUUGUUCAGAGAUGCGUCAAAGGUAUACCUAUGAAAGUGGAUUGCAAGGGUCAGGCACCAAUGCAUUACUAAAGAAUAACAAACCAGAAUAACUUCUCGGGGAGCGUGGAAAGAAGGAGACCUAAAAGUGAUAUCUGUAGGCCGACCUUGGGAUUGAUAC